AAGGGAUAACCCGUCGAAAGUCGGACUAAUACCUUAUGCAGUCGUCGGAAGUCAUCUGAUGACGACGAAAGAUUUCAUCGGUGAGGGAUGGGGAUGCGUCUGAUUAGCUUGUUGGCGGGGUAACGGCCCACCAAGGCGACGAUCAGUAGGGGUUCUGAGAGGAAGGUCCCCCACAUUGGAACUGAGACACGGUCCAAACUCCUACGGGAGGCAGCAGUGAGGAAUAUUGGUCAAUGGACGAGAGUCUGAACCAGCCAAGUAGCGUGCAGGAUGACGGCCCUAUGGGUUGUAAACUGCUUUUAUGCGGGGAUAAAGUGAGGGACGUGUCCUUCAUUGCAGGUACCGCAUGAAAAAGGACCGGCUAAUUCCGUGCCAGCAGCCGCGGUAAUACGGAAGGUCCAGGCGUUAUCCGGAUUUAUUGGGUUUAAAGGGAGCGUAGGCGGAUUGUUAAGUCAGCGGUUAAAGGGUGUGGCUCAACCAUGCAUUGCCGUUGAAACUGGCGAUCUUGAGUGCAGACAGGGAUGCCGGAAUUCGUGGUGUAGCGGUGAAAUGCUUAGAUAUCACGAAGAACUCCGAUCGCG
rnacentral:rRNA from 1 species